rnacentral:lncRNA from 1 species
CGCGCGUUCCUGGCAGCACGUUCAUGGCAAGAAAUCUGAGCGCACUCGUUCUACAGUCAGACAGAGGUGAAGGAUGGAGGGAGAUACAGAGAAAGAGACAGCAGAGGAGAAGGAAGGUGAUGAUACAGAGCUGUCUGGUGAGGAAGGGGUGGGGCGACUUCAUCAGAGCGGAAGGUCCUCGGAUGAAGACCAGGACCUACCCAUCAUGCAGUGGGAGGACCUGAGCCUGCGUAUCGCCGAGCUAGAGAAACAGGAGGAGGAGAGGAGGGAGAGGGCAAAGAGUACGAGUGGGUCGGAACAGGGGAGUGUGUCAGGGGGCUGGGCGGAGGAGAGGCAGGGUGGGCGGAGGAGGAGAGAGGAAUGGGAGGAGGAGGACUAUGGAAGGUGUCGAGUUACUGUUUUCUCAUCUAGAUUCCACAACCACAGAAAUCUACAAUUAUGCUACACCAACAACAGUGAGAGCGAGGAUGAUGAUAAGGAGGAGGGGGCUGGCAAAGAGGGUUCUAAAGAGGCAGGUAGCCAUGGUUACCAUCCCUCUGGCCUGAAGCUGGAGGUGAGGGCUGCACUGAGUGCGCUUAAAAACAAGCUGCUCGCUGAACAGAAAGAGAAGGAGCACCUCGCCUGUGUGAUCACUAAGAGGAAGCAUCUGGAAUGCUGUGACCUGCAGAUCUGCUCAAUACAACAGCUCAGCUCCCUCAGGACCUCACUCAACCACGACAUACACG